rnacentral:rRNA from 1 species
AAUGGGAUUCCUUAAGUAAUUGCGAAUGAACAAGGAAAUGCUCAGCUUGAAAAAUGGGGCCUUUGGCUUUGAAUUGUAAUUUUGAAAUGUAUUGCCAAUGGAGGCGCAGGUGCAAGCCUAUUGAAAGAAAGCGUCAAUGAGGGUGAGAUUCCUUUUUGUCAUUUGCAGUCCUCCGUGCACGGUAUAUAUUUGACGAGUCACACUCCUCGGCAUUGGAAUGCAAAGUGGGUGGUAAAUUCCAUGUAAAGGUAAAUAUAUUAUUGAGACUGAUAGCAAACAAGUACCAUGAGGGAAAUAUGAAAAGGACUUUGAAAAGAGAAUUAAAAGAGUCUGCAUUUGCUGAACAGAAAGCAAACAGAAUUGAUUUUACUUGGUGAGAUUGUUGUGCUUACUCUAUCAUUUAUAUGGUUGAUGUGGGUGCGAUGGUUCUUACCUUGAAUGUCAGCUUCUAUUUCUGCAAAUCAUUACCCUUGCACAUGAAUGGUAACUUGCCUGCGGGUAUUGGAAUGCAUGUGUUUGCAAUGAUUUGUGAUUUGACGCAUGUGUUUGGUGAAAUUUGUAUAUGCUCUUUUGUCGAAGGGGAAAGCUUACUUUUUUGAGCAUUGCAAGCCCUUACACAUCAGUGCUGGCAAAAUGUUUCUGCUUGACCCGUCUUGAAACACGGACCAAGGAGUCUAACAGAUGUGCAAGUUCGUGGGUGGCAAACCUUUUUGCGCAAUGAAAGUAUUGGCUGGGAUACUUGCACCAGCAGCCGACCAAUUAGCAGACAGAGGUUUGAGUUUGAGCAUAUCUAUUAGGACCCGAAAGAUGGUGAACUAUGCCUGAACAGAAUGAAUUCAGAGGAAACUCUGAUGGAGGUUCGUAUCGAUACUGACGUGCAAAUCGUUCGUCAUACUUGGGUAUAGGGGCGAAAGACUAAUCGAACCAUNUAGUAGCUGGUUCCCUCCGAAGUUUCCCUCAGGAUAGCUGGAGUUGCACAGUUUUAUCNGGUAAAGCGAAUGAUUAGAGGAAUUGGGGACACGCUGUCCUUGACCUAUUCUCAAACUUUAAAUGGGUAAGAUGCAAUGGUUGCUUUAUUGAACUUUUGGAAUAAAUGGCAAUAUCAGGUGGGCCAUUUUUGGUAAGCAGAACUGGCGAUGAGGGAUGAACCUAACGUUGGGUUAAGGUGCUUAAUUGCUUGCUCAUUAGAUACCAGAAAGGGUGUUGGUUCAUUUUAACAGCAGGACGGUGGUCAUGGAAGUCGAAAUCCGCUAAGGAGUGUGUAACAACUCACCUGCCGAAUGGACUAGCCCCGAAAAUGGAUGGCGCUCAAGCGGGUGACCGAUACCCAACCACUGUUGCAAAUAGUGUCAGUGUGUAGGAGGGCAUGGCGGUUUG